GAUGAACGCUGGCGGCGUACCUAAUACAUGCAAGUCGAGCGAACAGACGAGGAGCUUGCUCCUCUGACGUUAGCGGCGGACGGGUGAGUAACACGUGGAUAACCUACCUAUAAGACUGGGGUAACUUCGGGAAACCGGAGCUAAUACCGGAUAAUAUAUUGAACCGCAUGGUUCAAUAGUGAAAGACGGUUUUGCUGUCACUUAUAGAUGGAUCCGCGCCGCAUUAGCUAGUUGGUAAGGUAACGGCUUACCAAGGCAACGAUGCGUAGCCGACCUGAGAGGGUGAUCGGCCACACUGGAACUGAGACACGGUCCAGACUCCUACGGGAGGCAGCAGUAGGGAAUCUUCCGCAAUGGGCGAAAGCCUGACGGAGCAACGCCGCGUGAGUGAUGAAGGUCUUCGGAUCGUAAAACUCUGUUAUUAGGGAAGAACAAAUGUGUAAGUAACUAUGCACGUCUUGACGGUACCUAAUCAGAAAGCCACGGCUAACUACGUG
rnacentral:rRNA from 1 species